rnacentral:rRNA from 1 species
GAGUUUGAUCUUGGCUCAGGAUAAACGCUGGCGGCGUGCAUGAGACAUGCAAGUCGAACGGACGAUCGAGGCUUGCCUUGAUCGUUAGUGGCGGACGGCUGAGUAACGCGUAGGUGACCUGCCCCGAAGUGGGGAAUAACUGCCCGAAAGGGUGGCUAAUACCGCAUGUGGUGGUGUGUUCAUUCACACCAGUAAAGCCGCAAGGCGCUUCGGGAGGGGCCUGCGUCCGAUUAGCUCGUUGGUGGGGUAACGGCUCACCAAGGCGACGAUCGGUAGGUGGUCUGAGAGGACGAUCACCCAGACUGGGACUGAGACACGGCCCAGACUCCUACGGGAGGCAGCAGUCGGGAAUUUUGCGCAAUGGACGAAAGUCUGACGCAGCAACGGGCCGCGUGAGGGAUGAAGGCCUUCGGGUUGU